AGAAAACAUGUUCUCAAGAGGUUUCCGUUUCAAGUUGGCAGCCUUAAGUCAGCGGAGCUGGAGUCAAACUUUUUAAGGAAUGUCUGAGCUUGGAUCCUGCUCUGGGCUUCGCCUGGUCUCCAACUUUUGGGGCCCAGAUUUGGAACCGCCGUGGCUGGCUGAUAACGGGCUAUACCGAGAGUGCCCGAGGGGGGAGCCGGGCGUGUUGCUCCCACAAUACCCUCACUGGCUCCAAAGGGCGCGUCGCACGCGCAGGAGAUGAUUUAUGGACCCUGGCUAGGAAGAGAUUAGGAGCAUCAUUUAAACACAGAUCUGCUUUUCUUUCUUCUGGGAAAGUAGCCUCUUUUCAUUCAGAAAAAGGUAGCAGGAGUCCCGGUUGGCACAUCCAGCCGAAGGCAUCUCCGCACUGCGGAGUCGUUCUCCCCAAAUCAUGACGACGCUCUCCUCUUCUGCCCACCAUCCCAGUUCUGACCGUCGGGCUGGAUGGCCAGCCGUGCCCGUACGGCUGAGCUCCUCCCUGGUUAUGGCCCUGUUUGUGUUCCUAGUGUUUUCCUGGAUGGCUUUUCGUCUUUCAUUUCUGUUUCUUAUUCUUCUCUUUUCCCUGCGCUGUGAUGACGGCGGCUUGAUGGAGACUGACUGUAUGGAAAAAGGCAGCACAGGGCGGACAAGAAGGCUUGGCCCAAAGAGAAACGCGGGGCCUCCUUGUUCAACUGACCCCCGAAAUGGCCCAGAAUGGUGGUGGAUACCUACACGCGUCAUUUUCACUGUUGUGCCAAGCCUAAGGCAGAAGUCUUCAGGACGUCCGCAGGAUGUUAGUGAGAUGUGGCUGUCCUCCCGAUCGGCAUGUCGCACGUCCUGGACACAACAGUGGCCCUUGAUGGUGCACGGAAAUGACUUAAUUUGUUUCCAAGAAAUAAGAAGGAAUAGACAUUUAUUGGACACGUUUCAGCUACGAAGGGGAGUGGUUCCAAGUUCCGAGAAAGAAGGGACUCGAACAUUUUGCAAAAUCUCCGUGGAAACCGGUGGUCCAAAUGAACAUGGCCUUUUACCCCUGAGCCAAACCGGGAGCCAACAUCAUUAAGAUGCGUGUAUGGGGAGUGUGCCGUGCAAGGGGACACACCUUUCAACGGGCACAACACAGAGAAGCAAUUAAGUGUGACUGAGACACGGCCGGUAACAGCCAGAGCAGGAAUAUGAUGGGAACGAGCUUCCGGAGACUGUGUGGCUUGACUCAGGGCUGCAGAUAAUGAGGCAACAUCCUGUCUCAAGAAUUGCCACCAUUUUUUUUUUUUACACCAUUUUUUUUUUUUUUUUUAUGAGAGGUAGACACUGACAGCCUCACAGAGGCCACAGCGAGGGAGUAAUCCUCGGAAAAUCUGAGCCACAAGCAUGGACGUUCCAAUCAAAUCAUCAGGCCUCGUAGCUUUAGACAGCGGCCUGCGGAAAGGAGGCCAAGAGUCUGGGUCAGGAGGCCACCUGCUCUCUCCCUCCGCCCCCUCCUUCUGGAAGCUCACGCAGCUCCCGGGCGCUGGGGAAAAGCAGACAAUACCCCUCCCUCUGAUACCGUGCCGCAGACCUAGCCCCUUUUGUCUGUCUUUUACGUGAGUUGAUUUUUAUGAAUAAAAAGAGAUUUUUCCCACUAUUUUCUUUUCUU
ensembl:lncRNA